UCAAGGACCCUUCAAAACACACGACGUUCCUGCCCCAGGCAAAAAGCCCAGUUACCUCUGGCCACUGCAGUUUGGCUCAUCACCAGGGAACCUUUGCCUCCUCCAAGACCAAGGCACCGCUCCAGUAACAGGAGCCAACUGAAGCUUGGAACUCCAAGGAAUGCUAAAGCUAUAGCCCGAGGACCUCUGGGGCCAUAUCUCCCAGGAAGAUCUUGCCUCCUCACUGAAGCUCCUGGCCUGGCUCCUGCAGUGCCACACUCCGUGUAUUUGACAAGCUGAGUUGGACACUCCAUGUGGUAGAGUGUCAGUUUGUCAAAUACCCCAAGUGCGGCAUAUGCCUAACAGCUCCAAGCCAGAGCAGUUGGGAUACAACAAAUAAAUUGUCAGCUGAAUACAAGAUCACUCUCCAAACACAAACUAAACUUUCACAGGUUAUUUUCAGUGACUUGAGGGAACUGAAGCAUUGUAUCUGAGGGUGCCAGGGGAAAAAUGAGGCAACUCUUGAAGCCACAGAUCUGGAAUGUUUCUAUACACAUUGUCAGAUCCCAAGCAGGACAUAAUGGUCUUAAAAAGCAUUAUUUACACUAGCCAAGAUAUGGAAGCAACAUAAGUGUCCAUGGAUAGACAAAUGGAUACGGAAAAAGUGGUGUAUAUAUGUACAAUGGAAUGUUAAAUAGCCAUAAAAGAGGAUACAAUCAAGCCAUUUGAGACAACAUGGAUGGACAUAGAGGAUAUUAUGGUAAGUGAAAUAAGUCAGACUGAGAAAGACAAAUACCAUAUGAUUUCACUCAUAUGGUAUCUAAAAAUGAAUUUAAAAAAGCAGAAUUAAAUGUAUAGACACAGAGAACAAACUGAUGGUUGCCAGAGGGUAGGAGUGUGGGAAGAUGGGAAAAAUGUGUGAAGAGGAAUGGGAGAUACAGGCUUCCAGUUAGGAAAUAAAAGAGGAUAAAAGCACAGUAAAAGGAAUGUAGUUAAUGAUAUUGUAAUAGUGAUGUAAUAGUAGCUGCACUUGUAGUGAACAUAGCAUAAUGUAUAAACAUGUCAAUUCACUAUGUUGUGCACCUGAAAUAAUGUAACACUGUGUGUCAACUAUACAAAAAAAAAAAAAGAAAGAAAGAAAAUAACAACAACAAAAAUAGAUUCCAAAGGGUGUCCGGGAGCUAAUAAAGAUUCAAACAUAAGAGACAAUUAGAUGUAAUGGAAAGAGUAUGCCAUCUUCAUGCAAGUUCCAACUUGAACUUUCUAUCUGUGAGCUCCUGGGCAAAUAUAUUUCCCUUUCUGAUUUUCCAUUUCUUCCAUAAAAUUAGGCUGAUGAUAGCUAUCUCAUGAGAUAGAUGUGGGAAUCAAUUAUAAAAUGUCUGUUGAGUUCUUGUGAAUUGUGUCUGCAAAAUAUGAAUUACCUAGUGAAUGUCACUUUCCCCAUUACCCUCUUUGUCUUCUUAACCCACAACAUGACAGGCAUUGUCUCCAGCCUUGUGAUUAUCAGUUCAGAAUUUUUCUUUCUCUGUGAUUGCACAACCCAGGACACCACCCCCCUCCAUACACACAAACUGUCUUCUAUGGAAUAAAGAUAUCUCCAUUACAAGGACUGUAAUUGAAAGGAUCUCCAAAAGAAAGGAUUGCUCACCUUUGACCACAAACUUCACAAUGUCACUGCGCUGCUCAGAUCCUACCCGGCCCUUGGCAGUACAGAAAUAGGAGCCGGAGUCAGCCACCACAGCAUGCUUGAAGAGUAAGGUUUCACCAAAGGUACAUUGGAAAAUCCCAUCCCAAGGGGUAAUGGAGAGGAAAAUGUCUGGAGAAGAAAAGGAUAUGAAUAAGAUCCUAGAGCUGGCUAUGAAGUCCUCUAUAUGUCUUCUCCAGAGGAAAGAUUAAUUAGAUUAUAUCAUUUUCAGUUUUAAUGAUGACCUGAAGAAGGAGUUAGCACAUGAGAAGGUAAGCGGCUGCCCUCACCAACCUGGGGGAGCCUACCAAGUUAUGAGCAGGAAAUAGGCCAUCUAUGGAUUGUAAGGAGCCAGAAAGGAUAAAGUAGCCUGUAUAAAUAUCAACAGGACUUGUUUGGAAGCCAAUGUGAAAUGUUGAUCAAAUUAAGCAAUAUAGAUGACUUUCCUGGAAGACUGGGUAGGGAAAAUCUAUUUCAGGAAACUCUCACCUCCUGGGGGAAUGCUCUGCCUUUUAUGGAUCCGUGAAAACCACCAAAUGGCAAAGCACUUGCUUUGACAGGGAUUGAGGUACCAGGAAGUAUAGAAUUUGAGACUUUUAGAAUGGCAUAGCUGCAAGAGCUUUUGGUUGCAUUUCCUCAUGGUACAUGUAGGAAAGCCAAGAGAAAGAAAGAUGCUUAUCUAAAAGUUACACAGAAAGCAGGGGCUGAACUGGGCCUAGGGAUUUAAGAAGAAAGGCUUUCGGAUGCUACACUGCCUUCUUACCUUAUUAAACCACUAGCCACAACUGAAAUUAGUAACCCUUACUUGACAUGGUUUAAAGUUGCUUGAUUUGACUUGCUGAAAAAAAAAAUUCCAUCUGCUGGCUAUUUUCUGAAAAGUGUUUCCCAGGCCUUCAGAGUCUUACUCUGUUUUCUCAGGGAAAAACUGAAUUUUCUCUAAAUAUUAUCCCUCUACAGGAGAAAGACCUGGGCUAGGCAUUGACUCAAGGGGCUUUGUUGAAAAGAGUUUAAUUUGAGAAACAGGGGACAAUACUUGUUCUAGGAACUGGACUUAGAAAAGCAAAAUGCAGGGCCUGUAUAAUAGUCCUAAAUAAAGGAAAAGCUUAGUUUUCUGGGCAAGAGUUCCUUUAUAGGGCAAUGUUAGGUCCUUUUUUAAAUCUUCCUCCUCUCACCAUCACACAGAGAGUGGGAUCUUCCCAUAACCCCACACCCCCAUGUGUGGCCUCUUUCCCUCUCUUGGGUUGUCUCCUGGCUUAGAUAAUAGCUGUUAAUAAAAUGUUUAUAAUGUUUAUAAAGUGAAAAUAUUUAUUAUUAUUAUUAUUAUCAUUAUUAUUAUUAUUUCAACAUGUGUCUUUGACCCAGCAGCUGAUUCUGGCCCCUAGAGGCCCUAUAAGGCCAGCCAAACUGAUAUAAUCACUGUACAGUAGGCUGGAGACACUGAGAUCCAGGGAGAGGGAAGGUGUUAUUGGCCAUUCAGUAUGUCCUGAGAUCUAGAUCUAUAGUGUUAAACACUCCACACAAAAGAAAGUUCUGCUUCCAUGUCUAGAGGACCUCACAGGCAGAAGAAGGAACAAUAUACAUGAGAGUACUCACGUGAACAGACACAACUUAACUUUAACAUGUACAGAAUGUUACCCUGAGCCCGAGUCCUGCUUCUGUAAGUCUCUGCUAAAAACAACAGAUUUGGAGAAGGUAGAAAGGUGUACUCUAAAACCUGGCAGAUGAUGAAAUAUUGCCAUUUUUAAAAAGCACUAUUAUUUAGGAAAAUUAACUCUGCCACUAAUGCUCUGUGGCCUGGAGCACAUUCUUGUCCUCUCAGGUAACUCGAUUUAGUAUCUCUUUUAGCUUUGAGGCUCUAGAUCCCGAUGGGUCACAAAGGCCCAGGAUAGAUUAGCAUAAUUUGAGUCUGUUAUGAAAAACUGAGUUCUUCCUGACCACAAAGGGACACCAACCUAACAUCCAUCCAUCCUCUCCCUCUAAAGAUAUGGAACAAGCAGAGAUGCAGCAAGAACCGAUUUGCCCUAUCUUGGGUUUCACUUAUCUAUUACUCAUGCUUAGUUACCUAAAAGUCUGUCUCAAUUCUCAGGGAUAUAAAUGAGAAUGGGGGAAUACCCAAGGAAAUAAUGCUUCUAUGGGAUAGCCAGACUUCUUUUAGGAUAUAUACCCAGCAUUAAUUUCCCCCAAGUAGCCUGGACAAACUGGGCCAUAUUCACAGGGAAAGGAGCUACCGCAAGAGGUGGUAAGAAACCACCAAGUCCUAUGAAUAGCAAUUGAAGAAGCUAGGGCUUGUUUAUUUUGGAGAAGAGAUAAAUCAAAGGGACAUGGUGUCUGUCCUCAGAACUCUAAAGGGCUGUCACAACAUCAAGGGAGUAGAUAUGUUCUUUGUGUCUCCAAGAAAUAGAGCUGGGGCUUUAGGAUGGAAGUCACAAGGAAGUGGAUUUAGUUCAACACAAGGAAGAACUUCUAACAUUUGGAACUACUCUUGCACAGACUAGAUAGUCUGGGGAAGUGGUAAACUCUCAAUGUCUGGAAUUAUGUAAACAGAUAUUUUGAGCACUUGUUCAUAACUAUGAAAAAUGGGUCUAGAUUACUUUUAAGAUCCUAUAUAACUCUUGGACAACAUUCCUUCCUUGAAGCUUAUAUAUCUUAACAGGGAUCAAGACCUAGAAAUAGAGAAGUUAAGGUAUAAUGGCAGAAUUUCAGGUGAAAGAAGAUGGAGGAAGGAUUUGGGUGGCAUUGGGCACCUUCUUAAUGUCCCUGAGAUAUGACAAGUACUAGAAAAUCAUGUGGAUAUUUUUGAGAGGAUCCUUUUUAAUUUCUACCCAAACUUACCUUCUAGCUUCUUCAGUAGUCUUCAGCUGCCCCAAACUGAGAGAGUCUGUAGCACUGUUUGAGAAUACUCACCUAUUCAGCAGGAAUAGGCUUUCCUCAGUGGCCAUUCAAUCCCCACACCCCAGCCUUUUGCCUGUGACAGCAGUAGCGGCCAGAUAGCAAUUUCCUUCCUUACCAUAGGUGACCAUUGUUAGGUGGCCCAGGAGCAGGAGGUCCAGUAAGAGCCUCAUCACAGCUUUAGACAGUUUUUUCCUUUAUUCCAGCCUCCUGCUGUCAAAGGCUUGAACUUAUGAUGGCUGUCAGCUUCUGUGCCUGCUUACUUCCCUUCCUUCUCUAUAUCUCUCACUUGGACUCCCAGUCUCAUCUCACAUUCUCCUUCCUUCCCUAUUUCAGCACAAGUCAUGUGAGUACUCCCUCCCUCCCCUGCCUGGUAUUGGAGGUUCAGGGUGAGUGAAGCAAUUCCUCCCCCUGUUAGGGUAUUGAUUUGACUUUCCCUGGAGCCAAUAAGGCUUUCUGGUCUUUGAUCUCCCAGGAUGUAUUUAUUUUGUGUUUCUUCCACAAGACUCUGAGGCUGGGGAUGACCUUUGGGUAUGAGUUUUCUCCCUCUACUAUAGAGAUAUUUUCCUUUCUGGUAGGCCCAGGGAGGAGAGAUCAACAUUACUGGCCUAUGCAAUAUUUAGCAGUCAUACCUUUAACUCCUGCCUGAUACGCCUGUGCAAACGAACAGAGUUUUGGCAGUGGGUGCCUGUGGGCUUCAGAGUACAAGAGAUUAAAUGUAUGAAAGAGAUUUCUGUAAAUCAAAACGAGUUUAUAGAUGUGAAGAUAAAGAAAUUUCCUGGGAAACAUGCACAGCCUUUCUCUGGGGAAGAAUUCCUGUCCUACAGUUGAGAUCAGUAACCCUGAGAAGAACACUGAAGGGGAAGUCAAGAAGCCUAGUUCUGCAUCUACUUCAUUCUGAGCAUUUGAGCAAGUUAAAUCUGAACUUCAGCUUCCCCAAUUGUAACAUGAGCGCUAUUAGACUUGAUGUUUACGUAGUUUCUGAUUUUUAAAAAUCAAACUGCACCAUACAUACAAUAACGACUAUAACAAUGAUAGCUAAUACUUCUUGAUCAUUUACUCUUCCAUGAACUGUACUAAGCACUUUUUUGGAUUAUAUCAUUUGGUACUUUCAUGGUGGGUAUUGCACUUACUCUUAUGUCUCUUCUGUUGCUCUUUUAUUUUUCCCCCCUCAAGCACAGAGGCAUAUUUAAUAAAAAAUAUUGUUUUCUUUCCUUUUUUUCCAAUUUUUGUUUUAAUUCCAUUUAGUUAAUAUAUGGUGUUAUAUUAGUUUCAUGUGGAUAAUAGUGUGAUUCAACACUUCCAUAAGACAUCUGGUGCUCAUCACAGCAAGUGCACUCCUUAAUCCUCAUCACCUAUUUAAUGCUGCCUCACCCAACUCCCCUUUAGUAACCAUCAGUUUCUCCUCUAUAAUUGAGUCUGCUUCUAGAUUUCUUUCUCUUUCCCUUUGCUUGUUUUACUUUUUGUUUCUUUAAUUCCACAUAUGAGCAAAAUCAUAUUGUAUUUGUCUUUAUCUGACUUAUUUCACUUAGCAUUAUACUCUCUAGCUCUAUCCAUGUCAUUGCACGUGACAAGGGACAUUUCAUUCUUCCUUAUGGAUGAAUAAUAUUCCAUUGUGGAUAUAUGGAUAUAUAUCACAUCUUCUUUAUCCAUUCCUCAAUCAAUGAAUACUUAGGUUGCUUCCAUAUCUUGACUAUUGUAAAUAAUACUGUUAUAAAUAUAGGGGUGCAUAUGUCCCUUCAAAUUGAUGUUUUUAUAUUGUUUGGGUAAAUACCCAGUAGUGCAAUUUCUGGAUCCUAGGGUAGUUCUAUUUUU